UACAGAGGGGGCGAGCGUUGUUCGGAAUUACUGGGCGUAAAGGGCGCGUAGGCGGCCUGCUAAGUCGAACGUGAAAUCCCUGGGCUCAACCCAGGAACUGCGUCCGAUACUGGUUGGCUUGAAUCCGGGAGAGGGAUGUGGAAUUCCAGGUGUAGCGGUGAAAUGCGUAGAUAUCUGGAGGAACACCGGUGGCGAAGGCGACUACCUGGCCUGUUCUUGACGCUGAGGCGCGAAAGCUAGGGGAGCAAACGGG
rnacentral:rRNA from 1 species